rnacentral:snRNA from 1 species
CCAGCUUCCUUUGCCAUUUGGCUUAGAUCAAGUGCAGUAUCUGGUCUUUUUUAGUUUAAUCACUUCAGAGAGGCCUACGGGUCCUUUUAAAUUAUUUCAUUUUUCGCUCCAGUCGGUGGACCUCUGAGCUUGCUUAUGUUCAUGGGCACUGUGUCGCCUGUAUUGCACUACCUCAGGCUGACGCGAAACGCC